GACGAACGCUGGCGGCGUGCUUAACACAUGCAAGUCGAACGGAAAGGCCCUGCUUUGUGGGGUGCUCGAGUGGCGAACGGGUGAGUAACACGUGAGUAACCUGCCCUUGACUUUGGGAUAACUUCAGGAAACUGGGGCUAAUACCGGAUAGGAGCUCCUGCUGCAUGGUGGGGGUUGGAAAGUUUCGGCGGUUGGGGAUGGACUCGCGGCUUAUCAGCUUGUUGGUGGGGUAGUGGCUUACCAAGGCUUUGACGGGUAGCCGGCCUGAGAGGGUGACCGGCCACAUUGGGACUGAGAUACGGCCCAGACUCCUACGGGAGGCAGCAGUGGGGAAUAUUGCACAAUGGGCGGAAGCCUGAUGCAGCAACGCCGCGUGCGGGAUGAAGGCCUUCGGGUUGUAAACCGCCUUCGCCUGUGACGAAGCGUGAGUGACGGUAAUGGGUAAAGAAGCACCGGCUAACUACGUG
rnacentral:rRNA from 1 species